UCCCUGGUGGCUCAAAUGGUAAAGUGUCUGUCUACAAUGCAGGAGGUCCAGGUUCGAUCCCUGGGUUGGGAA
rnacentral:tRNA from 1 species